GAUGAACGCUGGCGGCGUGCCUAAUACAUGCAAGUCGAGCGAAUGGAUUAAGAGCUUGCUCUUAUGAAGUUAGCGGCGGACGGGUGAGUAACACGUGGGUAACCUGCCCAUAAGACUGGGAUAACUCCGGGAAACCGGGGCUAAUACCGGAUAACAUUUUGAACUGCAUGGUUCGAAAUUGAAAGUCGGCUUCGGCUGUCACUUAUGGAGUGACCCGCGUCGCAUUAGCUAGUUGGUGAGGUAACGGCUCACCAAGGCAACGAUGCGUAGCCGACCUGAGAGGGUGAUCGGCCACACUGGGACUGAGACACGGCCCAGACUCCUACGGGAGGCAGCAGUAGGGAAUCUUCCGCAAUGGACGAAAGUCUGACGGAGCAACGCCGCGUGAGUGGUGAAGGCUUUCGGGUCGUAAAACUCUGUUGUUAGGGAAGAACAAGUGCUAGUUGAAUAAGCUGGCACCUUGACGGUACCUAACCAGAAAGCCACGGCUAACUACGUGCCAGCAGCCGCGGUAA
rnacentral:rRNA from 1 species